GCCGCGUGAGGGCGGCUGGCGGGACGGCAGACAGGGGUGUGGCGGCGACUUGUCCUCCGAGGAGCCUGCAUUUAAACCCUUCCUGCCUCACUCUUCCUUUUUCCUGUUUGUCCUGCCGCUUUAAACUCUGGUUUCGCCUUCCUGUUCAUUCCAUUGCUUAUUUUAGGUCGCAAGUGCUUUAUCCACUGCUUUGAGUUUUUGACUGGAAAACCCAUAAUAUAAUCAGUCAAAACCCACACGUUGAAACACCAUAAAGUCACCCAGUCUCGGUCACCCUGGCACACACGGGGUUGUGAUCGUGACCUAGUCAUGUUUCUGACUCCGCUCAAUGGAAUGGAAUGAUUUUCUUUGGCUGUGCUGAGGUUAAUAUUGGAGGCAUAAACCCUCCGAGAAGGUAGAUGAAAAGGAGCGCGAUUCACUUCCUCCUGUUUAACAGGAAUGUGAGGACAGGUCUGGAAAAUACCCUGGCACCAGUUAACAGGUUUAAAAGGGAGUUUCAUUCAUAUAAAUGAUCAAGAUUGUGACUGGCAUAUACAGUGGAAAAGGAAGAAGGGCAAGUGUUUUACUAUACGAUCACAUAUGGGUCAUACGCCCCUUUUACUACCUAUAUGCCCAUCCUGCCACCUCUAAGACAUAAAGUUCCAUAGCCAGAGAUACAGGACUGGUGAAAUGAAGAUGGCUUAUGAUGAAACCUGCUGCCUUCUUAAAAUUGCAACCACUGCACCUUUUCUGGAAGCCAGAUCAAGUUUCAAACUUGCAGCACCAAUGAGGCAUUUGAAGAUGAUUCGCUUAGCCUCAGUGAAAGUCUAGAGAGCCUAGCAUCACAGUCCCAAUUCAGCACCCCAAUCUCUGACUUACAAUUACCUCUGGAUCUCAAGGAAGAUUUAUGUAUAUAUGUUUCCUUUUACCUAUUUCUAUGUCUUAUAGGUUGAAUGUAUGUAUGCAUAUGGAUUUGAGGAUUACAGAGUAUUUUAAAAGUCUAAAAUGUAAUGAAAGGAUUCUUACAUUUUAACAUCAGAAUAUCAGAAUCUAUUGAAUACUCAUAAUGUUCCUAACACUGGAUAGAGCAUUGAAAUGGAGGGUGGAGAAGGAUGGUGUACAAUAGAGAUAACUGUAUAUGAGGGAUUAAAUUUGAAACCAAGAAACAAUUUGAGGAGUUUAAUAAACUAUAUUGAGGCCGGU
rnacentral:lncRNA from 1 species